rnacentral:rRNA from 1 species
UACGGAGGGGGCUAGCGUUGUUCGGAAUUACUGGGCGUAAAGCGCGCGUAGGCGGACCUGCAAGUCGGGGGUGAAAGCCCGAGGCUCAACCUCGGAACUGCCUUCGAUACUGCGGGUCUCGAGUCCGGGAGAGGUGAGUGGAAUUCCUAGUGUAGAGGUGAAAUUCGUAGAUAUUAGGAAGAACACCAGUGGCGAAGGCGGCUCACUGGCCCGGUACUGA